AGCGAACGCUGGCGGCAGGCCUAAUACAUGCAAGUCGAGCGGUCCUUCGGGGCAGCGGCGGACGGGUGAGUAACGCGUGGGAACGUGCCCUUUGGUACGGAACAACUGAGGGAAACUUCAGCUAAUACCGUAUGUGCCCUUCGGGGGAAAGAUUUAUCGCCAUUGGAGCGGCCCGCGUUAGAUUAGCUAGUUGGUAGGGUAACGGCCUACCAAGGCGACGAUCUAUAGCUGGUCUGAGAGGAUGAUCAGCCACACUGGGACUGAGACACGGCCCAGACUCCUACGGGAGGCAGCAGUAGGGAAUCUUGCGCAAUGGGCGAAAGCCUGACGCAGCCUUGCCGCGUGAAUGAUGAAGGUCUUAGGAUUGUAAAAUUCUUUCACCGGGGACGAUAAUGACGGUACCCGGAGAAGAAGCCCCGGCUAACUUCGUGCCAGCCGCCGCAGUAACAC
rnacentral:rRNA from 1 species